rnacentral:rRNA from 1 species
AUAUCAAUAAGCGGAGGAAAAGAAACCAACAGGGAUUGCCUCAGUAACGGCGAGUGAAGCGGCAACAGCUCAAAUUUGAAAUCUGGCUCCUUGGGGGGUCCGAGUUGUAAUUUGUAGAGGAUGCUUCGGGCAAGGCUGCGGUCUAAUUUGCUUGGAACAGCGAGUCACAGAGGGUGAGAGUCCCGUCUAGGACCGUGCGCCGCGUCCAGGUGAAGCUCCUUCGACGAGUCGAGUUGUUUGGGAAUGCAGCUCUAAAUGGGUGGUAAAUUUCAUCUAAAGCUAAAUAUUGGCCAGAGACCGAUAGCGCACAAGUAGAGUGAUCGAAAGAUGAAAAGCACUUUGAAAAGAGAGUUAAACAGUAUGUGAAAUUGUUGAAAGGGAAGCGCUUGCAACCAGACUUGCGUGUGACGGUUCCCCCCACCUUCUGGUGGGGCUACUCCGUCAUCUCCAGGCCAGCAUCGGUUCGGGUGGUCGGUCAAAGACUCCGGGAAUGUAUCUACCUCCGGGUCGACUUAUAGCCCGGGGUGCAAUGCGGCCCACCCGGACCGAGGAACGCGCUUCGGCCCGGAUGCUGGCGUAAUGGUUGUAAGCGGCCCGUCUUGAAACACGGACCAAGGAGUCUAACAUCUAUGCGAGUGUUUGGGUGUUAAACCCCUACGCGGAAUGAAAGUGAACGGAGGUAAGAACCCCGUCCGGGGCGCAUUAUCGACCGAUCCUGAUGUUUUCGGAUGGAUUUGAGUAAGAGCAUAGCUGUUGGGACCCGAAAGAUGGUGAACUAUGCCUGAAUAGGGUGAAGCCAGAGGAAACUCUGGUGGAGGCUCGCAGCGGUUCUGACGUGCAAAUCGAUCGUCAAAUUUGGGCAUAGGGGCGAAAGACCAAUCGAACCAUCUGGUAGCUGGUUCCUGUCGAAGUUUCCCUCAGGAUAGCAGUAACGUUUUCAGUUUUAUGAGGUAAAGCGAAUGAUUAGAGGCCUUGGGGUUGAAACAACCUUAACCUAUUCUCAAACUUUAAAUAUGUAAGAAGUCCUUGUUGCUUAAUUGAACGUGGACAUUUGAAUGUAUCGUUACUAGUGGGCCAUUUUUGGUAAGCAGAACUGGCGAUGCGGGAUGAACCGAACGUGAGGUUAAGGUGCCGGAAUGUACGCUCAUCAGACACCACAAAAGGUGUCAAUGCAUCCAGACAGCCGGACGGUGGCCAUGGAAGUCGGAAUCCGCUUAGGAGUGUGUAACAACUCACCGGCCGAAUGCAUUGGCCCUGAAAAUGGAUGGCGCUUAAGCGUGCUACCUAUACCUCGCCGUUGGGGUUGAAAUGAUGCCCCAACGAGUAGGCAGGCGUGGGG